GUGUCAGCCGCCGCGGUAAUACGUAGGUGGCAAGCGUUACUCGGAAUCACUAGGCGUAAAGCGCAGGUAGGAGGUUUAGUAAGUCUGUUGUGAAAGCUCCCGGCUUAACUGGGAGAGGUCAACGGAAACUGCUAGGCUAGAGUUCGGUAGAGGAAGGUGGAAUUCCCGGUGUAGCGGUGAAAUGCGUAGAUAUCGGGAGGAAUACCUAUGGCGAAAGCAGCCUUCUGGACCGUAACUGACUCUGAUCUGCGAAAGCUAGGGGAGCAAACAGGAUUAGAAACCCUGGUAGUCC
rnacentral:rRNA from 1 species